rnacentral:snoRNA from 1 species
GCCCUUCUUAAAGCACUUGCCCCGCCUGGCGUGCAGUGGCGGGGUGAGCUGUCGUGGAAGGGCACAGGAAGUGCGUCGCUGUUGGGUGAGAGGGCAGCUGCGUGUGCUGCAGAUUCUCAAUCCGCGACGGGACACUC